CCAGACUCCUACGGGAGGCAGCAGUGAGGAAUAUUGGUCAAUGGGCGAGAGCCUGAACCAGCCAAGUCGCGUGAGGGAAGACGGUCCUAUGGAUUGUAAACCUCUUUUGUCAGGGAGCAAUUGGCGCUACGUGUAGCGUUAUCGAGAGUACCUGAAGAAAAAGCAUCGGCUAACUCCGUGCCAGCAGCCGCGGUAAUACGGAGGAUGCGAGCGUUAUCCGGAUUUAUUGGGUUUAAAGGGUGCGCAGGCGGAGGCGGCAAGUCAGCGGUAAAAUUGCGGGGCUAAACCUCGCCGAGCCGUUGAAACUGCUCUUCUAGAGUGGGCGAGAAGUAUGCGGAAUGCGUGGUGUAGCGGUGAAAUGCAUAGAUAUCACGCAGAACUCCGAUUGCGAAGGCAGCAUACCGGCGCCCAACUGACGCUCAUGCACGAAAGCGUGGGUAUCGAACAGGAUUAGAUACCCCUGUACC
rnacentral:rRNA from 1 species